UUACAUUGCUUGCUACUCAGU
rnacentral:piRNA from 1 species